rnacentral:rRNA from 1 species
CGUAGGUGGCAAGCGUUAUCCGGAAUUAUUGGGCGUAAAGCGCGCGUAGGCGGUUCAUUAAGUCUGAUGUGAAAGCCCCGGCUCAACCGGGGAGGGUCAUUGGAAACUGAUGAACUUGAGUGCAGAAGAGGAGAGUGGAAUUCCAUGUGUAGCGGUGAAAUGCGCAGAGAUAUGGAGGAACACCAGUGGCGAAGGCGGCUCUCUGGUCUGUAACUGACGCUGAUGUGCGAAAGCGUGGGAUCAAACAGGAUU